rnacentral:rRNA from 1 species
GACGAACGCUGGCGGCGUGCCUAAUACAUGCAAGUAGAACGCACAGUUUAUACCGUAGCUUGCUACACCAUAGACUGUGAGUUGCGAACGGGUGAGUAACGCGUAGGUAACCUGCCUGGUAGCGGGGGAUAACUAUUGGAAACGAUAGCUAAUACCGCAUAAUAUUAAUUAUUGCAUGAUAAUUAAUUGAAAGGUGCAAUUGCACCACUACCAGAUGGACCUGCGUUGUAUUAGCUAGUAGGUGAGGUAACGGCUCACCUAGGCGACGAUACAUAGCCGACCUGAGAGGGUGCUCGGCCACACUGAGACUGAGACACGGCCCAGACGCCUACGGGAGGCAGCAGUAGGGAAUCUUCGGCAAUGGACGAAAGUCUGACCGAGCAACGCCGCGUGAGUGAAGAAGGUUUUCGGAUCGUAAAGCUCUGUUGUAAGGGAAGAACGGGUGUGAGAGUGGAAAGUUCACACUGUGACGGUAUCUGACCAGAAAGGGACGGCUAACUACGUG